UGGGCAGUGGAGCACUCAAUCCAUAUUCUCC
rnacentral:piRNA from 2 species